rnacentral:rRNA from 1 species
UACGUAGGGGGCAAGCGUUGUCCGGAAUCAUUGGGCGUAAAGAGCGUGUAGGCGGCCCGAUAAGUCCGCUGUGAAAGUCCAGGGCUCAACCCUGGGAUGCCGGUGGAUACUGUCGGGCUCGAGUCCGGAAGAGGAGAGUGGAAUUCCUGGUGUAGCGGUGAAAUGCGCAGAUAUCAGGAAGAACACCCGUGGCGAAGGCGGCUCUCUGGAACGCAACUGACGCUGAGACGCGAAAGCGUGGGGAGCAAACAGG